rfam:Streptococcus thermophilus LMG 18311, complete genome.
GGGGUCGUUACGGAUUCGACAGGCAUUAUGAGGCAUAUUCUGCGACUCGUGUGGCGACGUUAACGCUCAGUUAAAUAUAACUGCAAAAAAUACUAAUUCUUACGCUGUAGCAGCCUAAACACCUGCUCGCGUGACUUCUAGCAGAUUGCUUAUGUUUGUUUAGAGGUUUUAUUGAUUUAUAAGCUACGUUCGAUCAUUGCCUAGCUGGUCGAAAAGAGAUUUAUAGGCUCGCAUAUAGAAGGCUUGAGUUAUGUGUCGCCUAUCUGUUAAAUGAAAGACAUAACCUAUGGUCGUAGACGAAUAUGUUGGCAGAUGCUUGGACGUGGGUUCGACUCCCACCGGCUCCAUAA